rnacentral:rRNA from 1 species
GCAACCUGGCGACGAGUGGCGAACGGGUGAGUAAUUUAACGGAACGUGCCCAGUUGUGGGGGAUAACUGCUCGAAAGAGCAGCUAAUACCGCAUACGACCUGAGGGUGAAAGCGGGGGAUCGCAAGACCUCGCGCAGUUGGAGCGGCCGAUAUCAGAUUAGGUAGUUGGUGGGGUAAAGGCUCACCAAGCCAACGAUCUGUAGCUGGUCUGAGAGGACGACCAGCCACACUGGGACUGAGACACGGCCCAGACUCCUACGGGAGGCAGCAGUGGGGAAUUUUGGACAAUGGGCGCAAGCCUGAUCCAGCCAUGCCGCGUGCGGGAAGAAGGCCUUCGGGUUGUAAACCGCUUUUGUCAGGGAAGAAAAGACUCCUGUUAAUACCGGGGGUUCAUGACGGUACCUGAAGAAUAAGCACCGGCUAACUACGUGCCAGCAGCCGCGGUAAUACGUAGGGUGCAAGCGUUAAUCGGAAUUACUGGGCGUAAAGCGUGCGCAGGCGGUUAUGCAAGACAGAUGUGAAAUCCCCGGGCUCAACCUGGGAACUGCAUUUGUGACUGCAUGGCUAGAGUACGGUAGAGGGGGAUGGAAUUCCGCGUGUAGCAUUGAAAUGCGUAGAUAUGCGGAGGAACACCGAUGGCGAAUGCAAUCCCCUGGACCUGUACUGACGCUCAUGCACGAAAAGCGUGGGGAGCAAACUGGGAUUAGAUACCCUGGUAGUCCACGCCCUAACGAUGUCAACUGGGUGUUGGGAGGGUUUCUUCUCUUAACGUAGCUAACGCGUGAAGUUGACCGCCUGGGGAGUACGGCGCAGGUUGAAACUCAAAGAUUGACGGGGACCCGCACAAGCGUGGGAGGAUGUGGUUUAAUUCGAUGCACGGCGAAAACCUGACCUACCCUUGACUGGCUAGGAUUCUGC